UCUCCUGACUGAUUUCACUGAAAGGUUCCAUUAGUGUAGCAAAGAGCUAUCAUUGCUCCUCACAGCUGAGUUCUGUUUCAUUGUGAAGAUAUACCACAAUGGGAUUCAUUUCUUUUUUUUUAUUAACUUUAUUUAUUUAUUGGAUAGAGACAGCCAGAAAUUGAGAGGAAGAGAGAGACAGAGAGACACCUGCAGUACUGCUUCACCACUGGCAAAGCUUCCCCCCUGCAGGUGGGGACCAGGGGCUCGAACCCGGGUCCUUGUGCUCUGUAUUAUGUGUGCUCAACCAGGAUUCAACUGCUGCUGGGAGAGUUCCAGAUUCAUUCAAAGUGGAGCAGAAGCUGACUCUCGCCAUCAUGGACCACCAAGUUCCAGAUGCUACUAUGAUUCCAUCCUGACCUCUCUGAGCAGACGACCUCACUGAUGCUUCCAGGAACCUCCCUGCUCCAGGGCUGGAAUGAAACCAUGUGGAUGAUUUUGGGAGGACUGCUGCAGUCUCCAGUGAAGGGUAUGGGUGGGAGCACAGAACUCUGGGGUGAGAACUGUACGGAAUGACAUCCCUACUAUUUGACAGAUUGGACUCGCUAUAA